AUUGAUGAUCUUGUUUGCAACCGAUUGCCUUAGCGUUUUCAUUUUCUUUGCUUUUUCCCCAACAAUCCUUGGUGACAUUUCUUUCGAGAUUACCCAUCACAAACUCAACAGACAAUGGGUAAAGUAAUACUGCGCAAUUUUAGCAUGUCUGUCGCACAACAUAAGCCUUUAGGAAACGCAGACAAAAUGUCGACGAAAAAUGUGUUUUUGGCUCUGCUCAUAACUAAACUAGGUCUCAGAGCGGGUUACGUAAGACAUUGAAAUGCUCCCAGCGUAUGGAGUUCGAUAUCUGCAUAAAGGUUAAGUGUACGUAUUGUUAGGAGCUUAUGGAAAUCCAUACGUAAAUUGGUGUGAUCGUAAAAAAGUGAAACGUUUUAAUUGUCUGUGACAUGAAGAUUGAAGAUGAGGGAUGAUGUCAUUGUGCUGUUCAAACCGCCCCAAGAAUACAGUGUUAUCUUUUUCCAGUGAAAUGGAGAGGUUAGAAGAACUAUGAAGCAGUUUCCAGUCUUAAUGUCGAUCGUAAGUUAAAGGUGUUCUAGUAACCCUCUAUAGACUAUUGUGUGGUUCUGGAAGGUUGUCUUCGUUAAUUCAGCAUUCAGGGUAUAAUAAUGUGGGCAUACAAGUUGUUAUGCUUUCUAUAGUUUUUUUCUGUUACGUGUGGACACUGAGUGGCUCAUACAUACUGUGUUACCUGUGUUACUUUGCAUGUAUGCAAAAAUGCAAAGAGUUGUUGGAGUGAUCCUAUUUCCAAUUGAGGACAAUACAGUGUGUUUUCUGGACAUAUCUUACUGCUUGGAUGCAUCACAUUUUGAAAGCAGAAGACCAGUGUUAGAAUUGCUAACAUACAGUUGUGCUCAUAAGUUUGCAUUCAUUGGCAGAAAUUGACAUUUUUGUAUUGAUUUUAAAUAUAAUACUGAUCAUCCAGAAAUCUCUUAUUUAAGGAUAGUGAUCAUAUAAAGCCAUUUAUUAUCACAUAGUUGUCUGGCUCCUCUUUAAAUCAUAAUGAUAACAGAAAUCACACAAAUGGCCCUGGGAAAAAAAAGUUUACAUACCCUUGAAUGUUUGGCCUUGUUACAGACACAAGGUGACACACGCAGGUGAAAAUGCCAAUUAAAUGUGGAUUUCCCACACCUGUGGCUUUUUAAAUUGCAAUUAGUGUCUUGUAAUCAAUUGUCAAUGAGUUUGUUAGCUGUCAUGUGGAUACACUGAGAAGGCUAGAUACUGAGCCAUGGGGAGCAGAAAAUAACUGUUGAAUGACCUCCGUAACAAGGUAAUGGAACUUUAUAAAGAUGGGAAAAGGUUAUAAAAAGAUCUCCAAAGCCUUGCAACUGCCAGCCAGUACUGUUUAAUCACUUAUUAAGAAGUGGGAAAUUUGGGGAUUUCUUGAUACCAAGCCAAGGUCAGGUAGACCAAGAAAGAUUUCAGCCAAAACUGCCUGACAUUUUUUUUGGGAUACAAAGAAAAACCCACAGUUAACUUAAGGAGAAAUACAGGCUGCUCUGGGAAAAGACUGUGGUUAUUUCAAAGAGCACAAUACGAAGAUAUUUGAACAAAAAUGAGCUACAUGGUCGAGUUGCCAGAAAGAAGCCUUUACUGCGCCAGUGCCACAAAAAAGCCUGGUUACAAUAUGCCUGAUGACACUUUCACAUGGCUUCUGGCACACUGUAAUUUGGAGUGAAGAGACAAAAAUAAAGCUUUAUGGUCACCACCAUAAGCUUUAUGUUUUGAGAGG
ensembl:lncRNA